GUUGCAUUACAGUUGUAGACUAUAUUAUAUCUACAGAAUGAUUUUCUUACUAUUUUAAUCAUGUGUGUUAAAAUCAUUUAUGAAAAUCUAUUACAUGUUUGAAAAUUUAUAUAAUGAAAAGACUGUCACAUAAUGUAUAUACUUUAGAUUCUCAGAAACAAGCUGAAGUGGAAAAUGAGGAAAAUGAAGGAAAGGAAGAGAAAGACAAAGAUCAGAAGACUGUUCCUGCUGAAGUUCUUCAUCAUCAUGCUGGUGUAAAAUCAAAUAGGAAAGAAAAAUAUCAAGUAAGAGUAAAAAUUAUUGAAGGAAGACAGCUAUCAGGAGCUA
rnacentral:lncRNA from 1 species